AUUGAACGCUGGCGGCAGGCUUAACACAUGCAAGUCGAGCGGGGGAAGGUAGCUUGCUACUGGACCUAGCGGCGGACGGGUGAGUAAUGCUUAGGAAUCUGCCUAUUAGAGGGGGACAACAUCUCGAAAGGGAUGCUAAUACCGCAUACGUCCUACGGGAGAAAGCAGGGGAUCUUCGGACCUUGCGCUAAUAGAUGAGCCUAAGUCGGAUUAGCUAGUUGGUGGGGUAAAGGCCUACCAAGGCGACGAUCUGUAGCGGGUCUGAGAGGAUGAUCCGCAACACUGGGACUGAGACACGGCCCAGACUCCUACGGGAGGCAGCAGUGGGGAAUAUUGGACAAUGGGGGGAACCCUGAUCCAGCCAUGCCGCGUGUGUGAAGAAGGCCUUAUGGUUGUAAAGCACUUUAAGCGAGGAGGAGGCUACUUUAGUUAAUACCUAGAGAUAGUGGACGUUACUCGCAGAAUAAGCACCGGCUAACUCUGUGCCAGCCGCCGCAGUAA
rnacentral:rRNA from 1 species